rnacentral:lncRNA from 1 species
GUAGGAGUCCUAUGUAUGCAAGUCAAUUUUUAAUAAUUUGUUGGUGGACUUGGCGAAGUUAUUGUAUACGUGUGGGUCGUUGAAGCAGUGAGUGAAGCCUUUGAAAAAGACCAAAAAUUUAAUUUUGCUUCUAAAGGGGAUAACAUAAGGCUAGCUUUUGUGUCUAUCAUUUCGGGUUAACUUCUUAUCAUUAAUUAAAAAAAAUUAUCACAAAUCGAAUCUCAACAAAUCCUAAUGCAAUGUUGAGUCACUCAUGCAUAUGAUUUAAGAAUAUGCCUCUCUUUUAGGUAAAGAAAUCAUAAAGGGGUGAAAGAGAAUUCAGCUGUUUCCAUGAAUAUUUUAUUUGUCACCAAAAUGUCUUAUUGGAAGUGAAUGUUGAUAUUGUGCAAUUUUAAUCUUUUACAUGUGUGGACUUUGCUUAAAAAUUUAGAUUAAUAUUGGAUUUCCAAUAAAGAAAAAAAUUAAUGUUGCUUAAUUUAGACUUUCUUUGUUGAGAUGAGGUUUUGUGCGGAGCAUUUUUAUAAUAUUGUGACUAAUAGUUACCGGAUUAAAAAAUAAUAUGUUAUUAAAUCUUAACUAUAUAUUAUUACAAAUACAAGUGUAAAAAUAUUAUAAAAACUCAGUUUUCAGCUCAACUGAACACCAAAUCUAAAUAUUUUUUUGUAUGUACAUUUUUUUGGGAGAUUGCCAAUUUUUUCUCUACUAAAAUUAAUGGAUGGCACUUACCUCACACAAUUUUUAUAAUAUCCAUAAAAAAAUCCUGAGUAUCAAAAUUUAAAGGAAAAUAAGGGUAAAUAAUUCAUUUAAUUAAUAAUUUAUCUUGGAAAUAUAAAUAUAAAUAUAUAUUUAUUAUAAGAAAAUAUCUUAUAUUUCUUUUUUUAGUACUUAAAUUUUUUUAUUUUAAUUUAUAUGUAUAUGUUAAUUUAUAAUAAAUAUAAACUAAAUAUUUAAAAAUAAAAGUAACGCGAUAAAAUUAUACUAUCUCAAAAUUAUUGACUAUUAUUAAAAAAAAAAACAAAAUGAUAUAUACACUAAUUUCAGACUUCCAAUAAUGGAGAAAUCGACAAUUUCUUUUUGUUUUUUCUUUUUUGGGCGUCAAUAUGAAAUUGGCAUGGCCCAUGUCCAGCGCACGGCGUACCAGCCAACUAUAACAAACUACACAACAAACUAUCAAUAUCUUACCAUGCAUUAACAGUACUCUCUCACUUUUGUCUGGCACUUGAAGUGUGAGACGCCAAACAUACGCCGUGACAAUACUGUAUUUUGUGUAAUAAUAAAAAUUCUAAGGGGCGUGUGUCUAAAUAUAGAUUUUGUGCAAAUUCGAUAUAAAAUUGGUAUUAUAAUUAAUUAAAUAAAAAUAUUAUGAUAUUAUAUAGUGUAAUAAUAAAUCUACAUAAAAAUUUCGUUUUCAAAGUUAUUGUCAUACUUUUUAAAUAUACUUUUUAUAUUUUCAAGUUUGUAAUUGAAUGAUAAUCAAACUUUGAGUGUGAAAGUUUGCGACUGUUCAAAAGCAAGUUGUGCUUUGGAGGAAAAAAAAAGGAAAAUUAUCACUUAUAUAUUUUUAAAUUAUCAUAUAAAAAGACCAUAUUACCUUUUUAAUAUUAUUAUAUUUAAAUAACAACUAAUAAUUUGAUGGAUGGUAGAUAUAUUUUAUUAAUUUAAGAUAGAUGAUUGAUAUAUCCUUAAAGUAUUAUAAUAAAUUUAAUAAUAGAAUAAAUUAAGGGUAUAUAAUUAAUAAUUUUUUUAUAAAAAUAAAGGGCAACGUCGUAGGCAUAUUUUUCAUAAUUUGUGUGUCCCAAGUCCCAACCAUAACUGCGGAAACAGACAGAGAGUGGAAUAAUAAUGUGGUUCGCAGUGAGAAUCUUGCCCAUGUGGCACUAUAUGAUUGGAUACAAAUAUCAUCUACAUGUACCAAUCAGAGUGGUCCAAGAUAUCAUCUACAUGUACCAAUCAGAGUGGUCCAAGAUUUUAGAUGCAGUGAAGCAUGCCAGUUGCCGACCACAUAUAGAAAUAAUAAAAAUAUACGAGCCAGAGAGUUAAACUGAAAAUCUUGCCUGAACUCGAAUUUUUAAUAAUUAAAAAUAAGUUUAUGUGGUGAGUUUUUAUACAGCAAAAUAAGUAUUUAAACAGGUAUUAGGUUAUAGAAUUUGGCUUCAUCUUAAUAUUUUGGAUAUUUAACUAAUUUUGUACCUCUUCAAAAAGAAAGUUGAUUUGGAUGGUUCAUAAUAAUUAAUAAGACUGCCCACAGAAUUUGUCCUGUACUAAUUGCCAACUACUGGAUUAAGAAUUCUUAAUCAAUUUUUGGAUAAUGACAUUUUUGAAGUCACGAAGUGAUUCCCUUUGCCUUUCUAUUGAUUUCCUAAAAAUCAUUAUCACCAUCAGUCACUACGCGUGUUUUUUUUAUUCUUUUAAAUAUGGUUUAUUAAGAAUUUAUGUUCGAGUUAUUUCGAUAUGAUCCUUUUGAUUUAAAUAAAUUUAUCUUGGCUGGAUACCAUUCAAAGAAUGCAUGUUAUCCUUAAAUUAUUUAAUGUAGUCUCUUAUUAAUAUAUUGAGCUGUAAUUUAACGGUAAUUAGACUUUUUGGACUCUUGAAGCCGAUAGUUAUAAUAAAUUAUAGAAACGGGAAACCUUUCUUUUGGAGAUGUUUUGAUAUGUUUCGAAAGAAGUUGUGAUACAAAAUUUAUUUUUUAAAUAGUAUUUGUAUUUGAUGUGUUAUUUAUUUAUUGGUAUUGUGAAAUUACAUUGAUAAUUAAUGAUAAUAUAAAAUUAAAGGAAAUUUUUUUUACAUAACCAUUUUUAAAAACCUAUUAUCAAAAAUAGUCAUAGGAAAAAAUGUCUUAAAAUAGUAACCACCCACACUUGUUAUGGACUAAAUUGCCCCUCCCCAAAAACCAUUGUCAAAAUCGCCUAAAUCACGCAUCCCCCGACAUCGCCCAUCAUCGCUUGUCAUCUUGAAAUUUCUUUCUACUACUCCAUCAUCACAAUCUCACCAUCACAGCCCCUAUUAUCGUAGCCUCCAUUAGUAAAAGGUUCUAUAUUGUCAAUGACAUUAGGAUUUGACCUAAAGGUACAACUCAUUUACACUUUUACAAUAAGUUUUAAUUGAUUGGUGGAUUAUUAUUGAUAGAAAAGCACACUAGAAUAUAUAUUGGCAUGAACAAUUCAAAGAUUUUUAAAAAUUAAUGUUUGUAAAAUAUAAGCACAUUAGGUGUUCGUUAAAAUGUCUCUAAGAAUUUUUUUUUUCAAUUAUCUCAAUAAAUUUACUGAACUAGUUCCUAGUGAUCCACUCUUUAAUACCAAAGGUACUUACUAGUAUGAAAUUUACACUUAUUUCAUAAGCUUUUUUUUUUUUUUUUGGUUUAUGUUGGGUCUAGGCACACCCAUCGCCUACAUCGCCCGUGCACGCUGCGGGCGAUGACGCCCAUCGCUGCCCAGGUGCAGCAUUGCCUGCACUGACCUAAACGAAUUUUUUUGUUUAAAACAAUAAUUUAAUAUUUAUUGUAUUUAACUUUCAGAUAUGUCUUGCAAUAAAAUGCUGCCUUGGACUUUAAAGAUACCAACUAAAGAUCAUUUCCCAGGUGUUCUAACAAAUUUGAUGAAAAUGAAGAGAGUGAUUAGCCUUAUGUAAUCAAAGUUGACUGAAAAACAACAAAAGUUGUUCUGAAAAUCAAUAUUUGGGCAUUUUACUAGUAUGAAGGAAAUUGAGAUUUAGUGGCAUGCUCGUGCAUAAUUUGUUACUUAGAAAAGUGGUACAAGAAGUUAAUAAAUAUCAAAUCUGGUUUCAUGUUGGCAAUGAGUUGUUGCGUUUCUCGAUUCGAGAAUGGUGUCUUAUAACAGGACUUAAAUGUGGUGAAUUGCAAGAUUUUGAAGAGUUAAAAAAAAAAAGGUGGCAGUUGGCGAAUACGUGAUGUUUAUUUCAAUGGCAAUGAUGAGUUUCAGCUUCAAGAAUUAGAUACAAGGUUUGAAGCUUUUGAUUUUACCAAAUCAAUGACAAAGAUGCAUUAAGAAUUGCCUUGUUCUACUUUGCGGAUAGAGUUUUGUGUGCGAGACACAAUGAGAGGCUCAUCCAUAAAUUUAUACUGUAUGUCGUUGCAUAUUUGGAAUGCGUUAACAACUUUUCUUGGGAAACAUAUUCGUGGAAUAUUGUUUAUGAUUAAAUGAAUUCUUCAUUGAAUGGGGAAGGCUGAAAAAUUUAAGAAUGAAGCAAGUAACAAGCACAUACAUGAGACUUACAAAUUUUAUGGCUUUUGUUAUGGAGUGUAGGUGAGUAAAAUAUAAAUACAUGUAUCUGUGCAUGAAUAUAGUAUAGUGUUUAAUGUAUUUUUUUUUCAAUGUAGGCCUAUAUUUUUUAAGCAGUUGGAGGAAUCGUAUAUGGCACCCUAACAAUGUGUUGAUUGAUUUUGUCUUCAGUGCUAGUUAAUAAUUGUUGUUUAAUGCAUAUGAAAUCAGAGUAGUUUUGUGUUUAGCUAUUGGAGGGAGUUUGAAAAGUGAAAUGAGAGGAGUUUUGUAGAGUUUGUAUUUAGUUGUUGAGGUGAAAUAAGAGAGGAGCUUUGGGGAGGGGCAAUUUAAUCCAUAAAAUUGUGUGUGGUUAAUAUUUUAUGUUCUAUGGCUAAUUUUGAGAUAGAGUUUUUGAAAGUGGCUAUAUAAGAAAAUUUCCCUAACAAAUUCAAUGUCUAACACAUAACAAUCAUUGUUGUUGACACAUCAUUUGAGGUAUAAUUUUUGUAUCUUAAGUUUUCAAGCAUAUCAUCAUUCUUUUUGGAAGUAAAUCGAAAUUUAAUCUCUAAUGAAAUUUAUUCUUAUUAAGAUGGUGCAUUAUAUGGCCAUGGUAGAUUGGUGCUUUUAGUAAUGUUGAUGGCAUCAAUUUGACUCCGUGAGACUCUUUAUUCAUUUUCCACAAAACACUGGAUACAUGUAGAUAUAUUUCACUAAAAUAGGUAGAAUAUUAGUUAGGGGAAAUUAUCUCUAAAAUAUGUAGGAUAAUCUUUAGUCACACACACACAUAUAUAUAGACUACAAAAAAAUUUGACUUGUUAUAUGCACCAGCAAUAUUUUCAAACAUAUAUCAAUCAAUUGUUUUACCACUAACACUGUUAGAAUUUAUUAAAGAAUCUAAAAAAAAAAAACUACUUUACCUUAAAUUUAUUAAAUGAUCGUUUUUACCCCUUGAGACUUUGAAAAGAUACGCAUUUGUAAUUUUAAUUAAAAGCCGUUAUUUACAACAAAAACAAUAAAAUAAAAGUUUAUUUAGCUGAUUCUCCUAUCUGUCUAUAGUUAAGCUUGUUAUGUGAUUAUAAGUUUUUUUAUUUUUCAAAGUUUCAAAAAAUAAAAUAGUCUUCUACUAUAUUCAAGGAUGAAAUAGUGAUUUUGCUUAAAUUCCUUAAAAGGUUGUAACAGUUCUAGUGGUAAAGUAAUUGAUUGACACAAAUUUGAAAAUAUAGACGGUGCAUAGACUAUGUCAAAAUUUUUAGUAAUUAAAUGUACAUAUGACAAAAUAGAGGUGGUAGUACAAAAAUAAUUUUACUGAAAAUAGGUUUUUCAACUAAUCUCAAUAGAAUUUUAGAUUACAUGUAUAUGUAUGUUCGCAUUGUAAUAUAUUUGUAGAUGAUAACAAUUUAAAAUGAUGCAUGAUAUUUAUCUUUGAAAAUUGAAAAAAAAUAGUUGUUGUAUAUUUAUCUUACAUGUCUUUGCUUAUUUAAUUUCCAAUUAAGACCUAAAAAGGAUUUGCUAUGAGUUUCAGAGUUUAUCUGCAGUAUCGUAUGGUUGGACUAUUCAGGCCCAUUUCUGUUCUAUGUUAAGUUGAUGGACAUGUUGCUGGCUUGCUUCAAUGGCCAGUCCUUAAUAUGGCCUUUUAUGGAAAUUAUAAUUAACACAUUAAUAAUAAUAAAUUUAACUAUUAUUUAGCUCUGUACGCCAACUCUACAAGCAUUACAUUAUUAUGUAAAAAUUGCACCUAGCUAAUAACAAAAAUCAUAUGAUUACAAAACAAUAAGAGGAGUGAUCACUCUACACGUGAAAAUUUAUAGUAAUAUUAUGUCGAAUGUCAUACUAACUAUGGAUAUAAAUUUUAUAUUCGAAUUUCGUAAAUUGUAAAUUUAGUUAAUGGGAAAGUUUCUUAAUUUUCAAGUGAUUUACGCCACUAUGUUGUUUGUAUAUAAGGGGGAUUUCAAAAUACCCAAAUUCUCUUAUAAAAAAAUAAAAUAAAUAAUACCCACAUUCUCACAUGAUGAACUUAAAUGAUACACAAAUUCCCAUGUGCAUUGGUGAAGAUGUUGGUUUCCGUUUUGCUAUCCAGCUAGUGUGUAUUUUAUUUACGUUACUCUUUAGAAAAUUAUUAGUGUGUGCUAAUGCUAUAAUGCAAACUUUGACUUCGAUUUUUUUGUUUUUUUUGGUUAGGCGUAGACUAAUCUUCCAUUAAUAACAUUAAUUUAUCUCGUAGCUACCUAACUUCCCGAAUACCAGCACAAAGUAAACCUUUUCAUCCACAAUUUUGUGUCAUUAUUCAAUAUUUUAUCUCGAAAUUUCACUGUAGAUGAUGUGAUAUUAAUUGUAAAAUAAUAUAAUUAAUUUAUCUAAAACCUGUAACAGAUUAUUAAUUACUUGACGAAUAAUUUGUUUAAUGGAAUUAGGUGACUACGUAACGGAAAAAUGAAAGCUCAUGCAUUUAAUGAAAGAAUACCAAAUCCUAAUUUUGUGGCCAAGGCCCAACACGGCCCAAAAAGGAAAUAGGACAAAAAUAAAAAAUAAAAAAUAAAAAGUUGGAUUAAGAAUUUUGUGCUAUAAAAAUAAAAUUGGAAUAUUUAUCUCCUUUUACGUUAGAUCUAAAACCUUUUUAGUUUUAUUUUUCUUGAAUCUUCUCCGGUUCGUUUCGUGCAGUGAGCCGAUCUGAUCUCGGGUUUCAGCCAUGGACGAGGAGUUCGAAUUUGGUGAUAAGGCUCCUCCCUCUUUUGAUCGCGUGGUAUUUUUUAUUUUAUGUUUUUAUCAUUUUAAUUAUCUCGAAAUUAUCUGCUGAUUCACGAUGUCCACGUUCACUUAUUUGACUUGAUUUUGCAUUUGUAAUUUGUGGAUCUAUUCGUUUUUGUAAUUUUUCUUUAAAAUUUCUCGCGUUGAUCUCGUGUUCUAGAUCGGAUAAUUGGAAGCUGACAUUGACGUUAAAUUUAGUCAUAUUUGUAGAUCUUUAUGACCAUUGAGCAUUUAAUUUUAAUUAGGACUGUUUGAUAUCUUUGAAAUUCGAUGAAAUUGUGAUGGCAUUAAUUGAAAUUAAUCUUUGAAUGCUUUCGAUAUGCGAGUUUUUAAGAGUAAGUUAAUAUAUAUUAUUUUUCUGUCAAUGGAGUUGUUUUAUUUAUUUAUUUGUUGUUCUAUUAUGGUACUUUAAUCAUCGCAAAAUUUAGAAUCAUUAAUAAUGAGAAAUUCUGGUGGGAUGAAAUAGUUUUAUGAAGCUCAUGCUGAUGGUGAUUAUUUUAGCUUAAGCUUCAUAUUAAACUGUUGAUUUUUUUUGGGGGGGGGGGAGAACUGAGGAAGCCUGUCAAUAUUUAUAUAUGGCAUUGGAGAUUCGUCUCUGGUCUGUCAAUUAGGAAUGUAGGUUACAACUAAUAACAAAAAGAUUGUGAAUACUUGAAUUUUCAGCCAAGUCACUACACGUUAAAAUAGACUUAUUUUUUCUGAAUUUAUGAAUCAUUUGAAUUUUUAUAGUUUGAAAAUCCUUUUUAAGUUACAAUUCAACUGAUUAGUGUGUUUAUGGAGCAGUAGUUAGGCAAUUAUGAUUGUGGUCUCUAUUUCGUCGGGGGAACAGUGAGAAUGUGGGAGAGUCUGUGAGAUUUUUUGGCAUGCAUUAAUUAAUCAUUCACGAAUUAUACUCAUCUGUUGGACUUGGGAUGUUUUGUUUCUUGUCAUGUUAUUAUCCCAUAGAUAAAUUUGUUCAAGCUUUCAAUCGCACAGCAGGAUGAUACCCUGUUUUACAUGGCAAAUGAAGGUAGAAAAAAAAAAUUAAAAUAUGUUCUUAUCCACCUUGAACUUCAGCUCUUUAGAGUAUUUGGCAUGUGUUAAUAAAGUAAUGUGGAGCAUGGUUAACAGCAAUUCGGUUCGUGAAGGUGAGUUAACCACAAAAUAAAUUUUAGGGUGUGUUAAAAAAAAAAAAAAAAGGUCUGCCAUUAUGGUAAGAUUAGAGCCCCGAUGCUGUCGUAAUAUCAACAUGUUGAGUGUAGUUGGUACAAUUUUAUUCUUCUGUAAUUUGUUUUCUCACGUGUACUUACAGAACGUAACUUGCUUUAAUGAUAAACAGGGAAACACAGUUAAGGAUGCUGGAGCCAAAGGGUUCAAUCCAGGAUUGAUAGUGCUGCUGGUUGUAGGAGGGCUGCUGUUGGUAUUCCUCAUUGGCAAUUACAUACUGUACAUGUAUGCACAAAAGACCCUUCCCCCGAAAAAGAAGAAGCCAGUCUCCAAGAAGAAGAUGAAGAAGGAACGACUGAAGCAAGGUGUCUCUGCACCCGGAGAGUAGAAAUUUUAGAUCCGGUUUUGGUUCUUCUCCUUAAAUGUUGAACAUUCAAGUUCGAAUUUUUUCUCCAGAUUUGGUGUCAAGAGAGUUGUCCCAGUUAUUUUCUCUGUUUUCUCAAUACUGGCUAGAAACCUAACCUCAUGAUUAGAAUUGACCCUAUAUUUGGGUAGACUAGGAGGCAAAUGCUGUUUGUCAAUUAUAUGCAGUUUAAUUUUCCUCAUGUUCCCUUUUUUCUCUUAUAUUGCUGCUCUGCUUGAAAGAAAGUGUUAUGCUGUUAUGCUGUAGGGAUUAAAGUUUCGGUUCAUAACCUAUUAGGAUCUAUUGGCUUUCUAGUAACUUGCAUCUGAUUCUAGUAACAUUCAGUUUCAAUUACGGUUGAAUGUUGCUAAUGUCUGCAUAUGAAUUCGAAUGGGAAAGGGGAAACUUGCAUUUUACUUGCACUCUGCUCAGGCCUUAGGGUUAAUCAUGUUCCUUUUGGUGUGUGAUCUUUAUUUCGAAGUAGUGUGGUGCAACAUAAAAGCUAAUAUCGCAUCCAACAAUAAACCUCUUUUAUUAAAAAAAUAGAAACAGAAAAUAUAAUUGAGGUAGGGGGUAGCGAAGUUGGCAACAUUAAUUAACGUAGAUCUCAUGUAAAUUAGAACAUUUUGAUCCAGUGUGUCUGAAAAGAGCUUCGGAUAGUAUUUAAUAAGAUAUUUGCUAAAGAACAGGUAAUUGUGCAUUGCAUGCUAUUUCUUCGAUUAAUUUUUUUCCCAAUAUUUUAGUUUAAAACCACAGUGACCACAUCCAACGUCGUUGGAGCCUUUGGAAAUUCGAGUUAGAUUUUUUUUUCCUUUUUGGCUGAGGAAAUAGAAAUUAAUGACAGAUAAAAUAGGAAGAGAAGAAAUUGAUCAAUAUCGCGGCAAAGCUUAUGUUACAAACACUAUAUCAAACAGCCAAUGCAUAUAGGUCGCUGAUUUUGAUAUUUCUUAAAUUUAAUGGGAAAACUAUUUUAAUGUAAAACGAGGUACAGUCGUAAUAAAUUUAAACAAUUAAUAAAAAAAUUUAAUAUUAAAGAUUAAGAUAUAUUAAAAUGAGAGAUCAUUAAUAUAAUGAGUAAAAAUUCAAUAAAUAUAGAAUUAAAUAAGUUAUAAAUUCAAUUAAAUAAAAAUAAAAAAAUUAUUGAGCAACUUUGUACUAAAUUUGCGAUAAAUAUAAAUGGAAAACUUCAAGAAAAUUAGAGCAAUAACCGUGUUGCCUAGCUGCAGCCUGGUUUAAAAUAAAACUUUAAAACUUAUUGACUUUUUUUUAAUUACUAUAUUUUCUAAGGACUUAAAAAUUUAUAAUCGUAACAAGCUUUGCCCAAUAUAAAUAGGGAUUCGCUUGUAAUGCAGCUGCUGAAUCUUAUGCAGCCGCUUUUUAUUAUUAUUUUUAAUUAGUUUUAUAACAAGAGACCCGUUAUCCCUUAUUUUAAUUUGGUUAUGGUGAAAAACAUUAAAGCUAAAUAUCAUACAGCUACCCUUAUUUUAAAUAAAUGACAAAAUAAUCAAUUUAAAUUAUGGAACUACCAAAUACCCCCUCACUUUACAAGAAAAUAUAUUUAAAAAAUGAGGCAUAUUUUUUCUCAAAAUAAGUGACUAAGUAAAUAAACAUAAUAUAAAUUAUUAAAUAUCUUUUAUUAUAUUUAUAAAUUUAAUGAUAUUUUGCAUAAAAAAAUAUCGUAUUAUUUUAUUAAUGUUUUGAUAGGUCAAUGCAAUCUAAAUAUCUAGACCCAUAAUUUAUCAGAUUUAGGAAGAAAUCAAUUCCACAAUACGUAUAGAGUGAUUCAAAACUCUACUCACGCAUGAGAAUAGUUUUUGUCCAACUAUUGGAUAAUCAUCAAACAAUUAUCUUGUUAAUUAUAUCAAACAUUAUAAUUACUACCAAAUAUUAUUUUAUUAUUAUUAUUAAUUUAAUACUAAUGGCCAAUAUUAUUGUAUAAUAUGUAUAGACAUAUAUAAGAUAUCUCAAUCUCUUAUGUAAAUUAAUUCAUAAAAAUAUGUGAAAUUAAUAUAUUCUUUUAUACUGCAUAUUUUGAUGGUUACAUUUAUUCACUAUUUUCAAGUUACACUAUUUUCUAAAAUACUUAUAAUGGACUCUUCUAUAUGUUAAAUGUAAUGUUAAUUUUUUUAUCUACUGCUUUUAGUAGUAUCAUAAUUAAUGAUUUAUAAUAUUAAAUUUAUUUUUUAUGUUGUUAGUAACCAUUAUUACUUUGUUAGUCAAUAUUAAAUUGAUUAAAAUAAACUCAACUAUGAUACUUAUUAUAUCAAUAUUAGAUGUUUAUUAUUAGAAUGUGUAUAUGGUCUAGAAUCUAUAUAUAUGAUGUUAUUUUAAUUUUAAUAAUGUCACUAUUUAUAUUAUUCAUUUAUUAAUAUUCUUUUAAAGGUAGGGCAUAUGAGAGUCUAAAUAUAAUUAUUAACUCUUACCUUCCACAUGAUUUAACUUGGGACAUAUACCAUAUUUUCAUAAAUAAUUACAUUUAUAUCUUUUUGGAUAAUUAUGCCCUAUGAUCAUGGUGACAUAAAUUCACAAUGUAAUUAUCAAUGUAACAAAGAUAAAUAUUAUUUUUUUAUUAGUUAGCGUAGCGACAACUAAAUUUUCUCCUUAUCCAUGUGAGUGAGUUUGAACCCUUAACCAAGUGGCACCCACAAUAAUAAUUAAAAUUUGAAUACAACUAAUAAUGUCGUAUUUAUUAUAUUUAUUGUUAUAUAUUUUAAGCAUGACACUAUUACUAUUUUUUAGAUAAUAAAAUCAAGGGUCACUAAAAUAGAGCAAUUAAAAAUAAGUGGCAUUUAGCACAAGUAUUCACGGAUUAGAUUUUGUGAAUUGGACAUCAAUCGAUAUCCGAUCCAUGAUUUUGCGAAUUAUAAACUUUCAAUCCAAUCUAAUCCAUGAAUUGAUGAAAUUCAUUGUAAAUCCAGCUCAUACCUUUGGGGAUAACCCAAUUCAUAUCCAAUCCACCAUUUUAUUGAUUGGUUUACAGAUAAAAUUUUUUUAAUUGUGUCCAAUCCAUGAACUAAUUAAAUAAAAAAGCCUAAUAUAGAAAUAAUGUUACUACUGAUUAGAUUCAUAAUUGAAUAAGAUUUAAAUAAAUUAAUUGUCUAAAUAAAGCGAGAAGAAUACAUUCAAAAUUUUAAUAUAACACACUGAGAAGGAAAAUACCACAUUUGUUUAUAUCAAUCCAUGAACAUUAGCUAAAAUUAUCUAUCUAAAUCUAUACAAAAGUUGAAACUUGAGAGUUUGGAUGAUUUGUCAAAAUAUCCUCCUAUAAUUUGUCAAAAAUGCUUUAGAAUUUGUACUAUUUAAGAAGUUAUAUUUGUUUAUUUAAUUUUUUUUAUUUUGUAAUAUUAUUGGAUAAUAUAUAAUAUGGUAUUAAUUUAUCUUAACUUAUUUAUCCAUUAGUAAUUAGUAAUGACACAAUUAUAAAUUUUAUUUUUUAAUUAAAUAAAUAUAUUUUUUACAGAUUCAUGGAUUUUUGCAUAUUUGCAUAAGCAAAUUUAUAUCUAAUCCAUUAAUUGUGGAUUUUUAAAUUUUCAAUCUAAUCUAAUCCAUCAAUCUACAGAUUGAAUUUUUAUGGAUCGGGUUUUUGCGAAUCAAAUAUAUUGAGCAGAUUGGAUUGGAUUUUGAACUCUCCUAGUAUUUAGAAUAUAAAUUAUAAAAAUAAGUAUAAUCAUAUUAAAUUAAUUUACUAAAUCAAGUAAAUUAAAAUGAAAUGAAUAAUUUUUCAUUUAGGCGGGCAAAACUGCCACUAAAUGAAAUACUAACAAAAUUUAUUUUUAAUGUAUAAAAUUGAAAAUUUUUAAAUUUUUAUUAAAAGUAUAAAUACUUCAUAUUUUGCUUCAUGAGAAAUCCUAGCCGCUUUAACUAAAAUUCUUCAAUUGAUCUUUGUUAAAAUAGUAAGGGGUGCAAACAUAAUUCAUCUUAUUGAUAUUAUUGUUAUUAAAAAAAAUAUUAUUAUUAGUUAAAAAAGGACCUGGAACAUGCACCGAUGUUGUCAAAAUAUAAUGAAAAUAAUAGGAAUAUAAAACCAUGAUAAGGUGUAAAAGAGUAGGAAAACUUAACCUAAAAAUGGGAUCAAUUUAAUAAAAAGCUGAAAUAUUAUUAAAAAAAAAGGAAUUUAUAAGGUGAACUUAGAACAUCACCCAAAAUAUUGGAAUACACAUAAAAGAGUAGGAAUAUGUAACAAAAAGAUCGUGAAAAUAAAGUGGAAAUCGAUUAAUGAAAAGUGGGGGUACCAAAAAAUAAACUUGAAACGUCCACUCAAAAUAUUAGAAUUCAAUGUAAAAGAGUGGGAAUAUAGAACUAAUCAAUGGUGAUAAAAAGAGUGGAAGAGCUCAACCCAAAAGUUUGAACAAGUUAGUAAGAAUUUGAUAAAUUCUAAUGAGAAGUAGAGAUAUAAAAAAUGAACUUGAAACAUCUAAAUAAAAUAUUGCAAUUCAAUAAAAAGAGUAGGAAUAUAGAACCAAAAUGUGGCAGAAAAAAAGUUGAAGAGAUUAAUUCAAAAGUUGGAAUAACUUAUAAAGCAAUUGAUAAAUUCCAAUUAGAAUUAGGGAUCUUAAAAAUAAACUUAAAAUAACAGCCCAACAUGUUAGAAUUUAGUAAAAAGAGUAGAAAUAUAUAACCAAACAGUGAUGGGAACCAAAGUUGAAGAGUUUAACCCAAAAGUUGUAACUACUUACCAAUAAUCUGAUAAAUGAUAACAAUAAGUAGGAAUUUAGAAAAAUGAACUUGACACAUGCUCUUUGCUGGAAUUCAAUUAAAAGAGUAGGAAUAUAGAACCAAAAAGUGGUGGAAACAAGAGUUGAAGACUUAACCUAAAAGUUGGAAUAGAGUCAUCAAGAAUAUGAUAAAUCCAACGGUGAGUAGAGGUUUAAAAGAUAAACUUAAAGCAUCCACACAAAAUCUAAGAAGUCAAUCAGAGUAUAAAUAUAGAUCUAAAAAGUGGUGGAAACAAGAGUUCAAGAAUUUGACUUAAAAGUUAGAAGAACUUACCAAGAAUCCGAUAAAUUCCAACAGUAAAAAUAAACUUGAAAUAUCCACGCCAAAUGCUGGAAUUCAUUGAAAAGAGUAAGAAUAUAGAACAGAGUUAAAGAUCUUAACUUAAAAGUUGAAAUAACUUACCAAGAAUAUAAUAAAAUGCGAAGGGAAAUAGAGAUAUAAAAGUUGAACUUGAUAUAUCAACCAAAAUGUUGGAAUUCAAUAAAAAGAGCAUGAAUAUAGAAUUAAAAAUUGGUGGGAAUAAGAGUUAAAAAGUUUAACCCAAAAGUUGAAAUAACUUACCAAAAAAUUGCUAAAUAUUUACGAGAAGUAAGGAUUUAAAAACUGAACUUGAUAUAUGUACUCAAAAUAUUGAAAUUCAAUAACAAGAGCAGGAAUAUGGAACCAAAAAGUAGUGGAAGAUAAGUUGGAGUAACUUAUCAAAAACUAGAUAAUAUCUAAGAGAAUAUAGGGAUAUAAAAAGUAAACUUGAAAUAUCCACCUAAAAAGUUGGAAUUUGAUGAAAAAAAUAAAAAUAUGAAACAAAAAAGUAGUAGGAAAAUGAGUUAAAAUAACUUACCAAAAUUUAGAUAAAUCACAAAUGAAAAUAGGAAUUUGAAAAAUAAACUUGAAACAUAUGCUACAGAUAUUGAAAUAUGAAAAAUUAAGUAGGAAUAUAACUAUUUUGUGACUUAUCUAUAGUAUUUUUAUAAUUUUUAUGCUAUUUAUAAGUUUAAAAUUAUUACAAUCUUUUGCCUCAUAUAAUUACAAUUUUAUCUUUUUUUGUCUAUUUUUCAUAAUUUUUUCACAUUAAAAAUAAGUAAAAAUAUAAUGUUUAUACCGGUUAAAAAUCGCUUGUACCGGUUGGUGCACGGAGCUGUAUGAGAUAGGGCAUUGCAUGGUAGGUUGACUCUAUUUUAUAGAGCAUACCUUUUAGUUAUAUAAAAAGAUGUGAAGUGUAAUCAUGUGGAGUUGGCAGAAAUAAUCGAUAUAUGCAAAUCGGUAUGGUCAACACAAAACAUUCAAAUGGCCAAAUAUUACAAACAGAACAGAUCUCAGCCUCAGCCUCACAACCUUCAAUCUUAAUCCAUUGUAACAGUUGAUUUCUUUCAAAAUUUCAGCAUUAACUAUAUGAAUAAAUAAAGCGAAUAUGAAUAAUAAUGUAAAGUGGAAAAAAAGAAAUUAAUCUAAGUUAUUUUAUGCAAUGAUAUUGUGAAAUCUCACUUGAAUUUUAUUUUGAAAAUUUAUAAUUUUAUAUCAGGCACAUGAUGAUUAACGCAAAAGAAUUCUAAUAACAGAAUUCAUGCAUGAGGGGAGAGUUUGAUUUUAUUAGUGAUAGGCAUGUGAAGUUAUAUAUAUAUAUAUAAACCAUCCCAAAUGAUGUAAUAUGUGAUGUAUCAUUUGUACUUAAUUGAUUUUUACAAGUACCAACGAAUUAAUUAUAUUAUCAUGCCAUUUAUUUGAUGUGUGUCACAUUAUUUAAAAGAGUACUACUAAAUGUCUAGAACGGCAAGAGAUAGACGAGUGAAUCUCUCACAUUUUUAUGAUUUAAAAAAUUAAAAAAUUAAUAAAAUAAUAAAGAAUUAAGAUGAAAUCGAAACAAAAUCUCUUAUCAGUUUAUCCUCACUCCAUCUUCGCAAAGUACCUUCCCACUCUCAAAUGACUCUCUUGAACAGGACCGUUGCCAAUGACGACAUGACUAUCGACGAUGACAUGACCCCUGCCACCAUGCCGACAACAACAUAAUCAUUGCCAAAGGUAUUUGUUUGCGGCUGAUUUUGGGUCAAUGAAAGAAAACCACAAAACCAAACCAAGAACAAUAAAUUUAUUUUUGUCGGGGAGUGGGGUGCCUCGCUUGUUCGACACGUGCGAGCUGUUUAGGCUUUCUGUGGAGUGUAGGAGGAUUGAGAUGGCGAUGGAUAUGGAAGGGGUCUGACUUCAGGUGCGGAGGGCUGGCAAAAAUCAUCUUAAACCUGCGAAACAACCAAAAAGCGGUCAGAGGUGGAGCCGGGGGUGGUCGACGACCAAACUCUGAUACUCAAGUCACAGUUGGGUUAUCUCAGGUUAAAGAGCUUGCAAGCUCUCGAUAAUAGAGGUCUUAAGGUUGAAGAAACCUUAGUUUUUCCUGGUGUGUGUGUUAACUUAAUAAAAAUUAAACUUGAGUAUUUAUAUGGUAUACUCCGGUCGCCGCACCACCUAGCAUUAUACUAUUGGCGUUCCCUGCUGUCAUGUCAUGAAUAUUCUUAUGUUCAUGUGUAUGGCAGCUUAGGCGUUUCAAAAAUAUUCAUGGAGAGCAAGUUUGAGGCAUAUUCACGUGCUAGGCGUAAUGGAGUGGUCCCGCGUACCUCUGCAAUUCCAUUGUAAUUUUGCAGGUGUGGCAGGAAAAGCUGGCGGUCCCAACUGUCAUAAUAUCAAACUUUUGGCUGAUUCACUAGCGUGACAGGCGGUUAUCUCCUCUUUUGUAGCACAAGAUUUCCUCACCGAUUCCUUAUUUUUUGACACGUAUUCAGCAGAUCUAUUUUAGAUUCGGGGCCCACUUAUCCCUUAACAUUUUUCUAAAGACUUUUUGUACCCUUACAUGGUGUACUCGAGGUACCCCCGGAAUACCUAGUGUACCUUGGGUACCCAAGGUUCCCGAAGUAAGCUAAUUUCUUAAAUAUCGAUACGUGGUGCUUCAUCAUUGGCCUCAUGUUUCCUUCCCAAACAACAUCCCCAUAGUUUCUUUGUGGCGAAUAUAACUGAGGCACAAGAAACUGUUGGAGGAAUUGCACAUGACACGUGGCGAUAUUUGACCUUUAUUUAUUUAUUUUUUAUUUUUACAAACACUAAACUGAUGCUUGUCUUUAUGUCUCUCCAGCUUCUCUUGGGAAGUGUUAAUCGCUUGACACAUAAUUUGAAUUUGAAAACACCCUUUCUGCAAAAUAAAUUUGACCUCUCUUUUUAUGAGGUACGAUUUGUCAGGUUUAAUUAAAACAUGUUCCUCUCCUUUUAUGUUACCACUUUAUUUUGAAAAUCCCAAAAAAUCUCUCAUUAAGUUUAAUUGCUUCCAGUGGCUUCUUCUUGCUCCCUGGCUUUCAUCUUUUCCUUAGCUUUAUUUCUCAUUCCUUUUUGGCUUAUCGUCUUUUUCUUUAGUUCGUCUUCUCCUGGGCUCCAUUAAUAUUCCAUAAACAGGUAAAAAAUCUUGUUUUAUUUCUCUUUUUCCUUUUUUUUUAAAAUGCCUUUUCAUGUCUCAUUUUCCAUAGUUUCUUUCAUUUUUUUCUCUUUCUUUCUCUUUUCUUCUUUCUUCUUCUGGUCAACUCUCGUUUUCCUCUCUUUUUUCUUUUUUCUUUUUCUUUCCUUUCUUUUUCUUUUCUCUUUCUCCUUUUCCUUCCCUCUCGAUUGCACUUCUCUUUGCGCGUUUCCGGCGGACUCUCGGCGGUUGUUGCAGUGGUCUUCGGCGCCCGAUCUGUCCGGCACGCGGCUAUGUCUCGUGACUUCUGGCGGGUUUGGCGCGGUACUUCUCUCCCCCACAUUGGCUUCCUCGCUUUUUUUCUUCUUUUUUUUUUGGCCGACUAUUCUUCUCCUGGCACAUUUUCGGAGGGACUUUCGGCAAUCGUUGUUGCGGUUUUCAAUGCUGAAUCCAGUCGACAGUGGGUUGCAGCUUCCGACGGGAUCCGUUCUUCCUCUACUGCGUUUUUUUCCUGUCUCCCUCUUUUUUUUUUAUCAUCUUGACUCCUUCAUUUUUUUUAAUCAUCCAGGCUCCCUUUUUUUUUUUUAAUCAUCCAUACUCUUUUUUUUUAUCACCUUGACGGCUUCUUAUUUAAAAAAAAAAAAAUCUCUAACGAGUUUCAUUGUGCCCAUGACAGCUUCUGCACAGCUUCAUCUUUUAAGCAAUUUCUUGCGAUCCACGACUUUUCUUGGCGGUUUACAAUCUCUUUAUCUUCAAAUUUACGUUCUUUGGCGACUUCAAUUUACUACUCUUGAUAUGAAUUUUUAUAUCUAUUUCAGUUUCUUUAUUCUGAAAAAUACUGUUGUGGCUUUGUUUCUUGAUUUCAUGCAAAGUGUUGGUACUUUUUCUUUUUGUUUAUGCUUUUAUUGGUGGAUCUUGGUGUUUCACUUGUGAUAAAUGAGGUCUAAAGUUGUGAGGGCAUGUUUUGAUGUGGAGAUUUCUUUUCAACUUGUGUAUUGUGUUUUUAGGGGAAUAAGAUGGGGAGAAAAAGAGUUGGGAUAAGGGGUCGAAAUAUUGUUGACGAUUUGGGUGGUGAGGAGGCCCUAUGUUCUGAGUCAGCCCCUUUUGUAUCCAUUAGUGAUGACAAUAGGUCUCCUUCGGGUAGCCCUAAAUUGUCUUGAAAUGAUCCUCGUAGUAAAUCUAAAACUAGGGGGAAGCAACCGGUUAGGGCAGCCUGUAAGAAAAUCCAUGCAAAAAAUUCCAGACCCAAAUCUCAUACCCCUGUCAGCAUCCCUGAACCUCCCGUGGUCUCCCCCUCUGUCUCUGUAGCUCAUAAGCUCUAUUCACUAGGGGGUAGGCCAGCUACUUCAAGAGAUUUAGAAAGGGUUAGAGUUAAAUAUAAUAUACCUCCUUCUGUCCGCCUUAGGGUAUCUCGCAAGGGUAAGCAGCCCGAGCACCCCCAUUCUGAGAGUGUAGCCCUUCAUAUUGACCUUUUUCAACUUAGGUCUCUGUUUGCCUCUUCAGCCAUUUUUUAGAAAAAUAUUCAAUGAGAUGCAGAUUACGCCCGGACAUUUAUCUUUACCCAGUUGGAGAUUGCUCUCGGGUUUGGAGGUUCUGUGGCUGGAUAUAUUUGGGGAGGAUAUUUCUUUCAGAUAUCUGAGGGGGCUUUAUCAGUUAAAGAAACCUUCUAGUUUAUCUGUAGCUUAUUUUACUACUUGAUGGUUCUUGGUAGUUUGGUGAGACCGGAUCCCUUGCUGAAAAGGGGCUAUAAAUAUGGGUGGUUUGUGGCUAAAGGUGAGUGGGGGAGGAGUAUACCAGCAGGGAAUGAAGUUGUGCAAGUUCGGAACUUCUUCAAUAAAGAUAAUAUGUAUUUAUUUCCUCAUCUCUGCCUUUUUUAUGUAUAUAUACAUGUCUCGCAUGAAUUUUCUUCUUAUUCGUUGUUUCUUGGGGCUUUUUCAGACAUCACUUGGUCUAAAGGGACAUGCCCAGUUCAUGAAGUGGGGAGAAAAGUGAGUGGUGUCAUAGAGAAAUUACGGUCUUUCUAGAGUGAGGGUGAUGUUCUGAGCACUACCCGGCUGGCGAGAGCUGGUUUGACUGAGGAGAGUCUUCCAUCUUCUUUGGGGGACGAUUCACGUAUGGCUAUAUGGUGUUGCUGGGGUACCUUGCCUUCACUGGUUCUGUGGGUUGCCCCAUCUUUACACAAACUUUUUUUUUUUUAUUUUGGCAACCAUAUCUUAUUUUUCUUAAUGUGUCUUUUCGCCUAUGACGAUUCUGAUGUUCAUUUUUCUGAUCCAUCUCUCAAUCUCACUUUUUUUUUUUGCUUGAUGUUGGAUAGGUAUGGACCAUUUCGCCGAAGAUUUCGACGCCUUCUUCAGUCACAUGAGCGGCAGCUCAUCCAAUACCUUGGGUACCUCAACAAAUGGUUUUUGACCUCCCAUCGUUCCAGACGCCAAAGACAAAUUGCAUGUUUCCUCUUUUGGGAGUUCUCAGGGUACUUCGGCUACCCACAACAGGAAGCUUGGCUCUCUAUUCACGGUUCUUGGAGAUCUUAUGGAGGGUGAGCUUGACCCGGUGGCAAACAAGCGAAUAUCUCAUCUGGCCGAUUGCUUCCUCCAUUCCUCCGAGUGCAUUUCUACAGACAUGACCAUGGAGGCGGAUAGAUUGGACUUAAAUGAGCGCUCAAGGCUUGUCAUGACGUGAGUGCCUUUCUCUUUAUAUAUAUAUAUAUAUAUAUACCAUCCUGACUCAUUUUUCUUCUCUUUAUUAUUAUUAUUAUUAUUAUUAUUAUUAUUAUUAUAUAUAUAUAUAUAUAUUCUGUGUAGGCGGCCGUCUACCUUAGUCACAGUCUCCAAGAUUUUAGUGGCACCUCGGCUGCACAUACCGAGGUAGAGAAGUUGCGAGGUGAGAUCAGACUCGGCCAGUCUCAAGAAGAGAAGCUUGGAGAGGUGGUCAUGGCUUUGCAAAGGCACUUGGACGACCACACCCAGGAGAACAGUCGAAUGUCUAAGAAGUUAGAAGAGGUGGAGUCUAAGCACGACAAGCUAUUAUCUCGCCAACAGGAGAUGAUGGACAAAGCUUUUACUCUCAUCAUGACUGAGGUCUGGAGCGUCGACCCAGAGCCGGUGGUACCCCGGGUGGAGAAAUGGGUGGAUAAAUCGGUCAUCCUGAAAGCGAUCGAGGACAAGAGGGUAACUCAGGCUCCACUAUCUCACAGCCCACAGCAGUCUUCUGGGGUACCCUAGGUACCCCAAGCGAAUCUCUCUUCUGUUGCUGUUGUUUAUGAGGGUAGCAACUCUUUAACGGCGGGUGUUCCUGCUGAUGCCCUUCGUUGAGGGGAGCGGUGAAGAGGAUGUUCCCCCUUCUGCGUGAUCCUACUUGUUAUUCAGAGUUUUAUCCCGAGAUGUUUCAGCAGUUUUCUUUCUUUGCUUCUGUACCUUUUGUAGUAUGGUAUCCCCCCUUGAUAUGUUGGGAUAGUUGUCUUUUGGAAGAUUGCCUUAGCAAUCUCGCUACUUGUUCACAUUAAACUUCCGCAAUAAACUUGAUUUGGCAUGCCAUUGAAUUCCUUGCUUAUGAUUAAUUUGUGUAGACUUGUGGGGGUUCCUCGGGUAUCCCAGGUACCCCCUGAUCUGUUUUUGGUGAUUUGUCGAGAUUUUCGUAGAUAUGCUCGCUGCUCGUCUUAAUAAAGAUUAUGGCGUAUCUCAAAUAAUUUAAUAAUUCUUGCAUCAUCAUAAUAUAAAAUGAAAUUCAUAAUUGGCGCAACGAGGAUGUAAAUAAAGAUUAUGACGUAUCUCAAAUAGACUUGUGGAGUUUCCAUGGGUAACCCAGGUACCCUAUUUUUUUUUUUUUUUGUUCGGGGACCUUCUUGGCCCCCUUUCUUACAGAAAUGGUCAAAAACAUGCUUGUUUUGCCAUCUGCUUCUGGUCAAUAUUUAAUGAAAUAAUGCGAAUAGAAGUGCAUGCUUGCCUACCUCAUUUCUUUUAGGCAUCUAACUCUUGUGAUUGCCAUUUGUCUAUUCUUUAAUUGGCUCAAGUUAAAGAAUGGAGGUGUGGGCGUGUGUAUACCUUAACGAAGUCUCAUGGCACUAGGGUAUGCUGGUUUACCUCGCCCUCGGUCUUCUCUGACCCUCCCUCUUUAAAUUUGUUGUAUUCUUUCUUAUUGACUUUUACUUUGAACAGAUCUGAACAAAUCUUCAUGAUCAAAUCAGGUCAGUUACCCCAGGUACCUCAAAUUAUCUUGAAAUGGAGUAAUUAUAGUUGAAAGGUGUAUACAAGACAUGACGUACUAAGAUAGAAUCACAUUAAUGGUGAAAGUUUAACCAUAAUCACAUUCGGUAAUCAAAAGGAGAACAUUACAUAAGCCUAACUCAUUGUCCCAAUGAGAAUAGGAAACUGUAUAGAUAUCCACUCUCUGGGACUUAGGGAAUUAAAAAUUUCACUUGCACAUGUAGGGUACCCUAAGUACUUUUUAUGGCUUUACCACAUAACACACAUAGUAAAGAAAAUAUGAGAUAGAUAAAGUGAACGAUAAGGUUUAAGACACUGUCCUCAUAUUAGUAGUACUUUCUUAGCAUUGCGGCGUUCCAAGGAUGCUUGACGAUUAUUCCAUCCAUGUGAAGUAGCCUGUACACCCACAAUCCUACCAGCUUGUCUAUGCGAUAUGGGUCUUCCCAAUUUGCUUCGAAAAAGACCUCCGAGGGUAUCCGAGUGUUCUGAGUUACCCUUCGUAGUACUAAAUUCUCUUUCUUGAAUGAUCUGGGGGGUACCCUUUGUUAUAUAAAUCUGAAACGCGGUGUUGGUAUAUUGCAACCUUCAAUUCUGCUUUAGCCUUUUUUUCUUCAACAAGAUCAAGAAUGGAUGCAAUUACAGAGGCAUUCUCGGCUUCAUCGAAGUAUGCGGUUCUGUGAAAGGGUAUCCCGAUUUCUGCUGGAAUGACCACACCAGUCCCUAAUGCUAGAGAAAAUAGGGUUUCCCUGGUUGAAGUAUUCUAAGUUGUCCGAGAGGCCCAAAGAACGCCGGGUAGCUCGUCUACCCAAGCUCCAUUCCUUUCCUCCAGCUUCUUUUUUAGGAUAUCAUUGAUGAUUUUUUUGAUGGCUUCCACCUAUCCAUUAUAUUGCGGGUGAGCCAGAGAAGCAAAUCGGUUGGCUAUCCGAAGCUCCGAGCAGAAACUCUGAAAUUUUUUAUUAUCGAAUUGCUUCCUGUUGUCGCUGACAAUUGCAUUAGGGAUACCAUAUCUGCAUAUAAGGUUCCUCCAAACGAAAUCAGUGGUUUUUCUCUCGAUAAUACUUGCCAACGGCUUCGUUUCUACCCACUUUGUGAAAUAGUCAACGACUACAAUUGCAUAUUUAUCUUGCCCUCUCCGGGUUGGCAGUGGGCCAAUGAGAUCUAUACUCCAAACAACAAAUUGCUACGGAGAAGACAUGACAGUUAACUUUUCUGGUGGAAAGUGGGGUACCUUGGCAAAUCUCAGGCACUUAUCAUAACUCUUGACCAUGUUUUUAGCAUCCUCCCGCAUCGUAGGCUAAUAAAAUCCUUGACGAAGGGCCUUUUGUGCCAAUGAUUGUGGUCUAUAGUGGUUACCAUAAAUUCUUUUGUGUAUCUCUCUCAUGAUAUAUUCGGCUUGUUCAUCUCCCAAGCACUUUAAGUAAGGGAGGGUAAACCCUCUUCUGUAUAAGGUAUCCUCGAUGAGACAAUACUGUGCAGCUUUAUAUUUUAGCCUCCUGCCUUACUCUUGUCUGAGGGCAGAUCCCCACUCCUGAGGUACCUUAUGAUUGGUUGCAUCCAUGGUACCCCAGCAGUUAUCGACCCUAAUUCUUCUGGCUCAGGUAUAUUAACACUAGAUGAGGGUAUAUACUCCGUAGUGAUUGGACCAACUGACUGAGUUGCAUCAAAGGACGCCAUUUUGGCGAGGUUGUCAGCUUCACAAUUUUCUAAUCGUAGAACUCUUCCCACCUUGACCUCAACAAAUUGGGAUAUUAAUUCUCUGGUUCCCCCAAUGUACCCCUUCAUAUUUUCUUCUUUAACAUGAUAUUAUGAGUUGAUCUGACCGACCACCAAUUGAGAGUCACUCUUGAUAUGAACCAUUUUUACACCAAACGCCUUCGACAUCCUUAGCCCCGCUAUUAUAGCUUCGUACUCGGCCUCGUUGUUUGAGGCCUUGAACGCGAAUUGCAAAGCAUAACAUAGCUUUACUUUACCUGGAUCGAUGAUUAUUACUCCCCUGCUGUACCGUACAUCCGCCUUGGCCGUACAGCAGAAUUUUUAUAGUUUGAAAAUCCUUUUUAAGUUACAAUUCAACUGAUUAGUGUGUUUAUGGAGCAGUAGUUAGGCAAUUAUGAUUGUGGUCUCUAUUUCGUCGGGGGAACAGUGAGAAUGUGGGAGAGUCUGUGAGAUUUUUUGGCAUGCAUUAAUUAAUCAUUCACGAAUUAUACUCAUCUGUUGGACUUGGGAUGUUUUGUUUCUUGUCAUGUUAUUAUCCCAUAGAUAAAUUUGUUCAAGCUUUCAAUCGCACAGCAGGAUGAUACCCUGUUUUACAUGGCAAAUGAAGGUAGAAAAAAAAAAUUAAAAUAUGUUCUUAUCCACCUUGAACUUCAGCUCUUUAGAGUAUUUGGCAUGUGUUAAUAAAGUAAUGUGGAGCAUGGUUAACAGCAAUUCGGUUCGUGAAGGUGAGUUAACCACAAAAUAAAUUUUAGGGUGUGUUAAAAAAAAAAAAAAAAGGUCUGCCAUUAUGGUAAGAUUAGAGCCCCGAUGCUGUCGUAAUAUCAACAUGUUGAGUGUAGUUGGUACAAUUUUAUUCUUCUGUAAUUUGUUUUCUCACGUGUACUUACAGAACGUAACUUGCUUUAAUGAUAAACAGGGAAACACAGUUAAGGAUGCUGGAGCCAAAGGGUUCAAUCCAGGAUUGAUAGUGCUGCUGGUUGUAGGAGGGCUGCUGUUGGUAUUCCUCAUUGGCAAUUACAUACUGUACAUGUAUGCACAAAAGACCCUUCCCCCGAAAAAGAAGAAGCCAGUCUCCAAGAAGAAGAUGAAGAAGGAACGACUGAAGCAAGGUGUCUCUGCACCCGGAGAGUAGAAAUUUUAGAUCCGGUUUUGGUUCUUCUCCUUAAAUGUUGAACAUUCAAGUUCGAAUUUUUUCUCCAGAUUUGGUGUCAAGAGAGUUGUCCCAGUUAUUUUCUCUGUUUUCUCAAUACUGGCUAGAAACCUAACCUCAUGAUUAGAAUUGACCCUAUAUUUGGGUAGACUAGGAGGA